rnacentral:ncRNA from 1 species
UUCACGGAGAGUUUGAUCCUGGCUCAGGACGAACGCUGGCGGCGUGCUUAACACAUGCAAGUCGAACGAUGAACCACUUCGGUGGGGAUUAGUGGCGAACGGGUGAGUAACACGUGGGCAAUCUGCCCUGCACUCUGGGACAAGCCCUGGAAACGGGGUCUAAUACCGGAUACAACCACUAGGGGCAUCUCUUGGUGGUGGAAAGCUCCGGCGGUGCAGGAUGAGCCCGCGGCCUAUCAGCUUGUUGGUGAGGUAAUGGCUCACCAAGGCGACGACGGGUAGCCGGCCUGAGAGGGCGACCGGCCACACUGGGACUGAGACACGGCCCAGACUCCUACGGAGGCAGCAUGGGGAAUAUUGCACAAUGGGCGAAAGCCUGAUGCAGCGACGCCGCGUGAGGGAUGACGGCCUUCGGGUUGUAAACCUCUUUCAGCAGGGAAGAAGCGAAAGUGACGGUACCUGCAGAAGAAGCGCCGGCUAACUACGUGCCAGCAGCCGCGGUAAUACGUAGGGCGCGAGCGUUGUCCGGAAUUAUUGGGCGUAAAGAGCUCGUAGGCGGCUUGUCACGUCGGUUGUGAAAGCCCGGGGCUUAACCCCGGGUCUGCAGUCGAUACGGGCAGGCUAGAGUUCGGUAGGGGAGAUCGGAAUUCCUGGUGUAGCGGUGAAAUGCGCAGAUAUCAGGAGGAACACCGGUGGCGAAGGCGGAUCUCUGGGCCGAUACUGACGCUGAGGAGCGAAAGCGUGGGGAGCGAACAGGAUUAGAUACCCUGGUAGUCCACGCCGUAAACGGUGGGCACUAGGUGUGGGCAACAUUCCACGUUGUCCGUGCCGCAGCUAACGCAUUAAGUGCCCCGCCUGGGGAGUACGGCCGCAAGGCUAAAACUCAAAGGAAUUGACGGGGGCCCGCACAAGCGGCGGAGCAUGUGGCUUAAUUCGACGCAACGCGAAGAACCUUACCAAGGCUUGACAUACACCGGA